CACAGGCUAAAAUGGAUUUAUUCUGAGGCCCUCUUGGUGUAAUUGGAAAUCAUUCUGAGGAGCGGGGGACAUGGCUAAUCGUGGAGCACUAGUCUAGCAUGCACCAGACACUGGGCUCCAUCCCCAGCAUGACAGAAACUAUCUGGUUCUCAAACUCUCAUCUCAGCACUUGGAAGCAGAUGCAGGAGGAUUGCCAUCUCUUGGUCAUCCUUGACAAUGUCACAAGUUCAAGAAAGGGGCAUUGGAUCUCCUGCAAUUGGAAUUACUGGACGUUACAAACUUCCCUGUCAGUGCUGGGACCUGAACCCAGAGCUUCUUCGAGAACAGAACUGUUUGCAAAGGUACUGUGUCACUGAGUCCCCAGUACUUUGGAGAGCUGACUCCUCUGCCCUGAGAACAGUGGUUGAUACCAAAUAAAUGAAUGGUAGCCAUAUCACGGUGGACAUUCAGUGUCCUAGUGAGUGAACCCAUGGCACAUUAGACUUGAUCCCUGUGCCGUCCCUCCUCCCCUUCUCUUCCUCCCUCCUCCCUACUUCCCUU